CCUACGGGGGGCAGCAGUGGGGAAUAUUGGACAAUGGGCGAAAGCCUGAUCCAGCAAUGCCGCGUGUGUGAAGAAGGCCUUCGGGUGGUAAAGCACUUUCAGUGGGGAAGAAAGCCUUGGGGCUAAUACCCCCGAGGAAGGACAUCACCCACAGAAGAAGCACCGGCUAACUCCGUGCCAGCAGCCGCGGUAAUACGGAGGGUGCGAGCGUUAAUCGGAAUUACUGGGCGUAAAGCGCGCGUAGGCGGUCUGAUAAGCCGGUUGUGAAAGCCCCGGGCUCAACCUGGGAACGGCAUCCGGAACUGUCAGGCUAGAGUGCAGGAGAGGAAGGUAGAAUUCCCGGUGUAGCGGUGAAAUGCGUAGAGAUCGGGAGGAAUACCAGUGGCGAAGGCGGCCUUCUGGACUGACACUGACGCUGAGGUGCGAAAGCGUGGGUAGCAAACAGGAUUAGAUACCCCGGUAGUC
rnacentral:rRNA from 1 species